UCUCGUUCAUUCCUGCCCCCACUCUCUCUCUCUCUACGGUUUCUCUCUCGUCUCGCAUCCACCACGCCAUUUCUGAUUUUCUGGAUCCACGCGGGUUUGGAGAGGGAGGCGAAGGAGGCACCUGUGGGAUUGAAGCGGGGGAGGGGAAUCGCAGAACCAAACCAAGAAGUCAUUUGCAUGCGCUUCCGGAAUCCAGCGAUUUGAUCCGUUGAUCUUGGGAGAGGGCACUGGAAGCUGCAGAUCUUGGAUCCUCAGUUGCUGCUACGGCGCACUUCUCCCUCCUCCUUCCCGACCUACGGGCGUCGUCGUCACCUUCCCGUAGCAGAUCGGGUCAACUCCCUCCCCGGGCAUCGGUGCCCUUGCUGGUUGCGGCCCCGCCGUAGCUGUCGCUCAGGUCCCCAAGUAUUCUGCAGGUGAGUCAAGUACAAUGCAUGAAGAAGAUAUGAUGUGCAUAUGAACCAACUCAAGUAAACAAGUGCAUAUGCAGUGGGAGCAAGCUAAGUACAUUUCUUGCAAUAAAUAUGUACUUCAUUGAUAAUAAUGUUGUUCUAGUAAGGCAAAUUAUGUAAUUGUUUUAGGCAAUAAUAUGGUUCUGAAUUAGGUAAUAUUAUGACCAGAAAUUUAGAAAAUAAUGUGUUUGUGUAUUAGCAAAAAUAAGAGCAUGAAUUAGGUUAUAUAGAACAAAUAAUGUUUGUUACCGGAGGUAUUCAGCAUUCCUGAUAUUUUAGUCCUAAUACUAACUGCACUUGCUAUUCCUUUCAGCCAUACAAAAUAAUGUUUGGACCUGAAACCUGAUGUACUUUUUUUCUGCCUGCAAGUUUUCUCAUGGAAUCAGCACUAUAACAUGCUCUUGAGCUUGGUGUUUGGUGAAACCUGAUGUGCCUUUUUUCUGCCCGCAAGUUUCCUCAUUGAAUCAGCACCAUAACAUGCUCUUGAGCGUGGUGUUUGGUGGCCCUCAGUUCAUCAGAUUGUAAUCGACAGUAGUUUAGUUGUAGCUCAAUGUAACCUCGAUUUUGAUUCAUGAGACUAGCUUGGUAGCCGUUGUAAUAGCUCUAAUCUUUUAAUUUGAUCAGUACAACAGUGUCGGCAAUUUAGAUGGGUUAAAAUGCGUUUGUAUAUUAUCUAAUUUGCUUAGUGUUUUUCAAAGAAUUGCUUAUCAGAGAGUAAAAAUGAGGUCUGUAUAUUUAUUAGAUGGGUUAAAAUGUGUUUGUAUAUGAUCUAAUUUGCUUAGUGUUUUUUCAAAGAAUUGUUUA